UCUUGAUCGCGGGCAAUCGCGGCGGGGAUUUCGAUCCCCGUUGAGGAAAGUCCGGACUGCAUAGAGCGGGGAGCCCCUUUGAAAAGAGGGGUGCUGCGGACCAUAUUCCGCAGAAAGACCAGUGCAACAGAGAGCAGACCGCCGCCGCAAGGCGGUAAGGGUGAAAGGGUGGGGUAAGAGCCCACCGGGUGACUGUGAGAGCAUCACCGCAUGGUAAACUCCUCCCGCAGCAAGACCAAAUAGGGAGUGAGCCGUUGCUCGCGGCGUUAUAAACUCCGGGUUCUGGUCGCACAGACAGAUGAUUGCCGCCGCCGCGAGGCGGUACAGAAUCCGGCUUACAGCGGUUGGGAUGUU
rnacentral:RNase_P_RNA from 1 species